AGAGUUUGAUCCUGGCUCAGAUUGAACGCUGGCGGCGUGCUUGACACAUGCAAGUCGUGCGAGAAAGGGGACUUCGGUCCCUGAGUAGAGCGGCGCACGGGUGAGUAACGCGUGGAUAAUCUCCCCAGAAGUUCGGGAUAACGGCGGGAAACUGCCGCUAAUACCGGAUACGCUCCAAUUUCGGUUGGGGGAAAGGCGGCCUCUGUUUACAAGCUGUCGCUUCUGGAUGAGUCCGCGUCCCAUUAGCUUGUUGGUGGGGUAAUGGCCUACCAAGGCUACGAUGGGUAGCUGGUCUGAGAGGAUGAUCAGCCACACUGGAACUGAAACACGGUCCAGACUCCUACGGGAGGCAGCAGUGGGGAAUAUUGCGCAAUGGGGGAAACCCUGACGCAGCGACGCCGUGUGAGGGAUGAAGGCUUUCGGGUCGUAAACCUCUGUCGGGAGGGAA
rnacentral:rRNA from 1 species